rnacentral:rRNA from 1 species
UACGUAGGGUGCAAGCGUUGUCCGGAAUUAUUGGGCGUAAAGAGCUCGUAGGCGGCUUGUCGCGUCGACUGUGAAAACUCGGGGCUCAACUCCGAGCUUGCAGUCGAUACGGGCAGGCUAGAGUUCGGUAGGGGAGACUGGAAUUCCUGGUGUAGCGGUGAAAUGCGUAGAUAUCUGGAGGAAUACCGGUGGCGAAGGCGGCAUCCUGGACCGACAUUGACGCUGAGGAGCGAAAGCUAGGGGAGCAAACGGG